rnacentral:rRNA from 1 species
CUUGGUCAUUUAGAGGAAGUAAAAGUCGUAACAAGGUUUCCGUAGGUGAACCUGCGGAAGGAUCAUUAACGAGAUCGAUUUGGGACCGUGCUGGCGCAAGCAACGUGCACGUCUCUUCUCAUCCACACACACUGUGCACUCGUGGGGGUGGUGCUCUCGAACGAAGCCACCUAUUUUUCACACGCACCAAUUGUCAUUUGGGAAUGUAGUCGUUUAUGGAAUAAAUAUAACUUUCAACAACGGAUCUCUUGGUUCUCGCAUCGAUGAAGAACGCAGCGAAAUGCGAUAAGUAAUGUGAAUUGCAGAAUUCAGUGAAUCAUCGAAUCUUUGAACGCACCUUGCGCUCCUUGGUAUUCCGAGGAGCAUGCCUGUUUGAGUGUCAUGAAAACAUCAACCCACGGUCAUCGACGGUGGGAUUGGACUUGGACGCUUUUGCUGCGAUUUGUUUUGCGGCUCGUCUCAAAUGCAUUAGUCGACUCUGCCGGUCCGCCUUUUGACGUGAUAGACAUCGACGUCGAGGCGUUUCGGCCCGUGAGCGGCUCACAACCGUCUUAGGACAAGCGAUUUCGCGAUCCGACCUCAAAUCAGGUAGGACUACCCGCUGAACUUAAGCAUAUCAAUAAGCGGAGGAAAAGAAACUAACGAGGAUUCCCCUAGUAACGGCGAGUGAAGCGGGAAGAGCUCAAAUUUGAAAUCUGGCGGUCUCCGGCCGUCCGAGUUGUAGUCUAGAGAAGCGUUUUCCGCGUCGGACCGUGUACAAGUCCCUUGGAACAGGGUGUCAUAGAGGGUGAGAAUCCCGUCUCUGACACGGACAGCCGAUGCUCUGCGAUGCGCUCUCAAAGAGUCGAGUUGUUUGGGAAUGCAGCUCAAAAUGGGUGGUAAAUUCCAUCUAAAGCUAAAUAUUGGCGAGAGACCGAUAGCGAACAAGUACCGUGAGGGAAAGAUGAAAAGCACUUUGGAAAGAGAGUUAAACAGUACGUGAAAUUGUUGAAAGGGAAACGCUUGAAGU